GCCGUAAGGGAGCGCCGGCGUCGCGGCCGUGGCUCUAGGGGAAGCGCGCCGGCCGUGGCCGCUGAGAGCAGGCCGGACGUCUGCUGGCUGGCGGGCCUUUCCCUAACGCUGGCGGAGGCGGGGCCGCAGGGCGAGCUGCCGCAGGCUCUGGACCCACGGCGGGGCGGGUGCCGGCAGCGAGGGACGCAGCUGCAUUCAGAUCUCAUUAUGCAUCAGAAAAAUGAAAAAACAGAGGAAAAUUCUAUGGAGGAAAGGAAUCCACUUAGCCUUUUCUGAGAAAUGGAAUACUGGAUUUGGAGGCUUUAAGAAGUUCUACUUUCACCAACACUUGUGCAUUCUGAAAGCCAAGUUAGGAAGACCAGGUACUUGGAACAGGCAUUUGAGGCAUUUCCAGUGCAGAAAGAAGGCCCUUCAAAUCCAGAAAACGUGGAUCCAGGAUGAACCCCUUUUUGCUAAGACGAAGUCCAGUGUGGCUGUUCAGAAUCUUAGUACUUUGUCCUCUAAAGUGAAAAGAAAGGACAUUUCCUCCUCAAGGACCUUCCUGAAACUCCAAGCAGAGAAGUUGCUGUCAUCAGCAAAGAACUCUGGUCAUGAAUACUCUGGAGAGAAAAGUCUCUUGAAGGCAGCCUCUGACUUACCAGAAAAUAGUGUUUUAAGUCAGGCCAAUGGUCACAGACCUAGGACGGAGCCACAAGCUUCAGAUCUUCCUAUGAAGCUCCAUGGGGAGAGUCCAGGUGAGAGUGGCACAGUUGUGGUCACCUUGAGCAACCAUAAGAGAAAGCGCUUUUGUUAUGGCUGCGGCCAAGGGCUGGAGCACCACAGGAGUGGGGGACCCCUGAUUCCAGGAAAGUUCCACCUUAAUCAACAUAGAAGAAUAAAAGUAUCUCCUCAUAUGAUGUAUGAGAAACUAUCCAUGAUUAGAUUUCGGUACAGGAUUCUCAGAUCCCAGCACUUCAGAACAAAAAGCAAAGUUUGCAAGCUAAAAAAAGGCCAGCGAAGCUGGGUGCAGGUCACUGGGGACCAUCAAGAGACCCUUAGGGAGGACGGUGAGGGUGGCGGUUGCAGCCCAUUCCCUUCCCCAGAACCUAAAGACCCUUCUCGUCGGCAUCAACCGUACCUUCCAGAUAUGGACAGCAGUGCUGUGCUGAAGGGAAGGAGCUCCCACAUGCCUGAUGGCCACACUAAGGGAAGCCCUCUCUUGGGCAAGGAGCAUAGUUUAGAUGAAGCAUUCCCUGACCGACAGAAUGGCAGUGCCACACACACCUGGGACCAGUCACCCUGUUCCUCUCCUAAGUGGGCGUGUACAGAGCUGAUUCAUGACAUCCCCUUACCAGAACAUCCUUCUAGUAACAUGUGUAUCUUGGAAACCGAGAGAGAAGUUAUGGCUCUGGGUCGGGAGAAUCGGACAAGCGCUGUCAGUGAUGACAGAGUAGAACUGUCAGUGUCUGGGGCAGAUCAGUCUGUGAGUAGUGUCGGUGGGCCUGUGUCCGAAGAGACUGUGCAGAGUGAGAGCUCAUGCCAGAUGGAUGAGGAUGGAUCUUUCAAGCAGAACAUUCUUAGUUCUAAGUUGCUGGACCACCCUUACUGUAAAAGUCCACUGGAGGCUCCUCUGACGUGCAGUGGACUCAAACUAGAAAGUCAAGUGGGAGGCGGGAAGAACAGUCAGAAAGCCUCUCCAGUGGAUGAUGAGCAGCUGUCGAUCUGCCUUUCUGGAUUCCUAGAUGAGGUUAUGAAGAAGUAUGGCAGUUUGGUCCCACUCAGUGAAAAAGAUGUCCUUGGAAGAUUAAAAGAUGUUUUUAACGAAGACUUUUCUAAUAGAAAACCGUUUAUCAACAGGGAAAUAACAAACUAUCGGGCCAGACAUCAAAAGUGCAACUUCCGCGUCUUCUACAAUAAGCACAUGCUGGAUGUGGAUGAUCUGGCAACCCUGGAUGGUCAGAAUUGGCUGAACGACCAGGUCAUUAAUAUGUACGGUGAGCUGAUAAUGGAUGCAGUCCCAGACAAAGUUCACUUCUUCAACAGCUUUUUUCAUAGACAGCUGGUAACCAAAGGAUAUAAUGGAGUUAAAAGAUGGACUAAAAAGGUGGAUUUGUUUAAAAAGAGUCUUCUGUUGAUUCCUAUUCACCUGGAAGUCCACUGGUCUCUCAUUACUGUGACACUCUCUAAUCGAAUUAUUUCAUUUUACGAUUCCCAAGGCAUUCAUUUUAAGUUUUGUGUAGAGAAUAUAAGAAAGUAUUUGCUGACUGAAGCCAGAGAAAAAAAUAGACCUGAAUUUCUUCAGGGUUGGCAGACUGCUGUUACAAAGAUGACUCACAUAGACCCGGAGAAGUACGGAAAUGACUAUUUGGAUUCACUAAGGGAGCAAGUGCAUUGGGCUGCUUUCCAGGCAUUUGGGGAAGUCACGUGGCCUGAGUGCUUCAGUCUGAACACAGUCUAGAAACAGCAGUAUGUUUGACCGUAGACAUCAAAGCCGUAUGUGGGGCAGAGUGAGCAGGCCUAGCCUCUUGACCCUGUCACAGAUACCAGUGUCUUGCGUUUUUAUGGGCACUGCUUUGUUUUCGUAGUGUUUUUGCAUGUAUGGUUUCCUUUGAUCCUUACAGUCUGUGAGGUAGACAGGUCCUUUAGGGAUAAGAAGCAUCUUUAUUAGAGAUGAGAUAACCAAAGCCUAGGUGUGACCUCCCCAGAGGCCAUCACAACUGUUGACAGAGUCAAGUCCUUGAAUUUUUAACCCAGACCCAAAGGGACAAGGCUCAUUUGUUCAUCCUUGAACUGAACUAAAGGCUGACUUCUAAACUUUUGUUUUGUUUUAAAUAACCUCGUAUAUUCGUUCAAACCAGAAUUGAGCUUCUGAAUAUUCUGAAUGUACCCAAUAGUAUAUUCUAAAUUUAAUCAGGAUCUUUCAUAUUCCAACACUUUAGGCAGAAUACAGUAACCAGGUCUUUGGAAAACAUACUGCUUACCUUUACGAUGUCUUUAAAAGAACAGGGCAGAGUUGUGAAACGUGAGACGAGAAGGGAAGACUGCCAAGCAGCACUGCUCCUAAGUAUUGAGAACGCAGGCGUGCGUGCUCCCAUCCACAGUUCCAUUUUGAUUCCAUAGUCAGUGAAUUGUUAGCAAAACUAAUUAUCCAAAUGGAAGGUCUAAAAUAGGAUUUUAUUUGAUUUCCCGUUUCUCAUAUGUAGGGGAAAUGUCAUAUAAGUUGUGGUUGACAGCUCUUCUCGUGUGGCCAGAUGCCUCCAUAAACUCAAACACUUUGAAUACCAGAGGUGCACACCAGCUGUCUUGGAUACAGACACGUGUCCUGUCUCUUGCUCAUUUUUCCGUAAAAACAGCUUUUCUUAUCUGAAGAGGAAUCCUUGGUUUUAUUUUAAUGAUUUUUUUGUGUUUCCCUUUAGUGUAUUCCACAACAGAAAAAUGACAGUGACUGUGGAGUAUUUGUGCUCCAGUACUGCAAGUGCCUCGCCUUAGAGCAGCCGUUCCAGUUUUCCCAAGAAGACAUGCCCCGGGUGCGGAAGAGGAUUUACAAGGAGCUGUGUGAGUGCCG